CCCUUAGAUGUUCUGGGCCGCACGCGCGCUACACUGAUGCAUUCAACGAGUUUUACCUUGGCCGAGAGGCCUGGGCAAUCUUUUAAACCUGCAUCGUGAUAGGGAUAGAUUAUUGCAAUUAUUAAUCUUGAACGAGGAAUUCCUAGUAAACGCGAAUCAUCAAUUCGCAUUGAUUACGUCCCUGCCCUUUGUACACACCGCCCGUCGCACCUACCGAUUGAAUGGUCCGGUGAGGCCUCGGGAUUGUGGUUCUUGCCGCUUUAUUGUGGCGUGACCGCGAGAACUUGUCUAAACCUUAUCAUCUAGAGGAAGGUGAAGUCGUAACA
rnacentral:rRNA from 1 species